CAUCCUCGUUCCCAGGGCUUCUCGGCUGCCUGCGUUGCCGUAAGCCCUGGGACAAGCCGAACCGGAACACCACAAAUUCUGGUGUUUUCCGGAAGUAAACGUGCUCUACUGCAGCUAAAAAUGCUGACUGUGCAUUAAUUUUUACUGAGGAGUGGAGACGUGUUGGUGAGAAGAAAAUAUUGGAUUUUCCUUUUGUUUUGAUGUAUUUUCCACCAUCAAGGGAAUAUGUGUAGACCACCUAAUGGAAUUAUACAUAUUGGGGUUUUAUAUUUCGUUGUAUCGUUCAUAUUCGUCAAAAUACAACCACAUUUCGGUCUCGUAUUACAUGUAUCAAUUUUCACGUAUGAUGUAAACAUGAUCGAGUCGCUCGAAAUGUGCUCGAAGACGUUGCUGUGAUUCAAAACAUCAUGGGUUCUUGUACAGAUGACCUGCUUCAACACGCGCUUGUAAAAUCACUUCAAAGACUGGACAAAGACGGACUGGAAAUUAAAGAGAAGCAAUACGAAACUUUGUCGUCUAUCGUAUGUUGUAUAUAAAAGGAACAAGAACGACAUGUGACAUGUCUAAACGGCGGUGUGUGUCUGUUUACUGGGCUACAACAACGGCAAUAACAAUGAAUCACCUAACAUUUCGAGAAAAUAUAAAUUAUAGAUAGAUGUCAUGCAUGACUCCAUCAGUUUUGGGUUUGAAUUGCUAGAUUUAAAUUUAUAUUAUGUAUACAAAAUCAUGCGUGUGUAUAAAAUUCGAGCAAAAAAGCACAAGGUCAAGGUGUUUGUUUGGCCAUAUGCCCAUCAUGUAGUAUGAAUAUUGAACACCGUUUUUAUAUAGUACGUUUAAAACGUUAUUUCCAUGCCGGAUAAUCCUGAAUCCUUCACCGAUUACAUGUGUGGCAAAUGACGAAAAAUAAUUAUGUAAAAUAAUUAAACUAAUAUGUCUUUGGCCAUGAAUGCAACUCACUAUGCUGCUUACAUCUGACAAUCAAAACUAUAUGCAUGACUGUAUGGCCCAAUGUAUGUUUGAGGGAAAUUUUUGUUUUCAGAUUACAGUAUAACAACAAUAUUUUCUGCAUUCCAAUAUAUUUUCUACAUGCAAGUGUGCCUUCUGUUUCAGAUUGGGGCCAAAUCAUUUGAGGGUGAAUGGGAUAGCCAUGGUUGGAGGGUAAUGUUAGCAAAUUUAACUCCCUUACAUAAUGUCAAGUUAUCACUGGU